UACAGAGGUCUCAAGCGUUGUUCGGAUUCAUUGGGCGUAAAGGGUGUGUAGGUGGCGCCGUAAGUCGGGUGUGAAAUUUCGGAGCUUAACUCCGAAACUGCAUUCGAUACUGCCGUGCUUGAGGACUGGAGAGGAGACUGGAAUUUACGGUGUAGCGGUGAAAUGCGUAGAUAUCGUAAGGAAGACCAGUGGCGAAGGCGGGUCUCUGGACAGUUCCUGACGCUGAGGUGCGAAAGCGUGGGGAGCAAACAGG
rnacentral:rRNA from 1 species